AUUGAACGCUGGCGGCAGGCCUAACACAUGCAAGUCGAGCGAGCGGCGGACGGGUGAGUAAUGUCUGGGAAACUGCCUGAUGGAGGGGGAUAACUACUGGAAACGGUAGCUAAUACCGCAUACCAUCAGAUGUGCCCAGAUGGGAUUAGCUAGUAGGUGGGGUAACGGCUCACCUAGGCGACGAUCCCUAGCUGGUCUGAGAGGAUGACCAGCGACGCUGGAACUGAGACACGGUCCAGACUCCUACCGGGAGCAGCAGUGGGGAAUAUUGCCCAAUGUGCGCAAGCCUGAUGCAGGCAUGCCGCGUGGGUGAAGAAGGCCUUCGGGUUGUAAAGCACUUUCAGCGGGGAGGCGUUACCCGCAGAAGAAGCACCGGCUAACUCCGUGCCAGCAGCCGCGGUAAUAC
rnacentral:rRNA from 1 species